UGCUCGCUCCAGCAGCAGUAUACUAAAAUUGGAAUUAUACAGAGAAGAUAAGCAUGGCCCCUGCGCUAGAAUGACAUGCACGUUUGUGACAGCAUCCCAUAUUUU
ensembl:snRNA U6 U6 spliceosomal RNA